rnacentral:rRNA from 1 species
AGCCCAAACCAAUAAAGUUUUCUUUAUUGGGGUUGCGGACAUAUCAUAACGAAGAGGUAUCGUAAUUGAAGAGGUUUGGAAAGACCCACCACAGAAGGUAAUAGUCCUGUAUGUUAAACGAGAAGACGUUAGAUAUGAUCCAGAGUACCACGGGACACGUGAAACCCUGUGGGAAGCAGGAGGGACCACCCUCCAAGGCUAAAUACUACCUAGUGACCGAUAGCGUAUAGUACCGUGAGGGAAAGGUGAAAA